GCAACUGAUAACAUUAGAACAAACUAAAGGAUAACCAUUCAUAUCUUCAGGAUAGAAUUCCACGAGAAGCUUACUGUAUUUGCCAAACCAAUCGUCUCUUGUAACAUCCACAAAGGGAUCAUACCCAAAGAAUGUAUGAGCUGUUCCACAAUCUUCUCCCUCCCAAUAAUUCCUACCAUAGCAACCACCAAAAUAGCAGUAUAGAUCGUUGCAGUCACC
rnacentral:misc_RNA from 1 species